ensembl:misc_RNA
CGAAAGGAAGCUUUAUUGUUUCCGAGGACUCUGCUGGAGGAGUCAUACAUACUUCGCCAUUUCUUCCUCUGAUGUCCAUUUGCCAUGAUUGUCUGAGGAAGGGAGAAAAAGUCUUUGAAGUGGCUACCAGGAUCCUUUGCAGAUCUCUGGGAUGUCAUUGACUCAUGCUUCUAUGGUGGGUGACUCCCAACAUCAUCACAUUCUUCCAAUUCUCCCAGUAGGGUAUGCAGUAGUCAUAUAGGCAAAGCUUUCUGAGCUACAGCAAA